AGACUUGAAUGUGUGAAAGGCUGAUUCAGAUGAAGUGAACCUGCUUUGACAGCUUUACAAUCACUCUUCAUCACAAACCAUCAUGCUUCUCUUUUGUUGGAUAUCAAUGUCAUUAUUCAUGGGAAAUUCCUUUGCUGACACAAUACAGCCGUCGUCUUCUGAACAACAUAUUUUCAGAGGUGACAGUGUGACUCUGUCCUGUAACUACAGUGGUUUUGUAUAUAGCCUGCUAUGGUAUCGGAAAUAUGAGGGAUCAAGACCGGAGUUCCUGAUACUUGUAAAUGAAAAUUCAGAGUCUCGUGAGGAUUCUCUUCGUCUGUCAGCAAAA